rnacentral:rRNA from 1 species
AGUGAUGAUUGCGAAGAGGUCACACCCGUUCCCAUACCGAACACGGAAGUUAAGCUCUUCAGCGCCGAUGGUAGUUGGGGGUUUCCCCCUGUGAGAGUAGGACGUCGCU